rnacentral:RNase_P_RNA from 1 species
UGGAGUGGGCGGAUGAUCGCUGUCCCAAAGGGAUGGAGGAAAGUCCGGACUCCGCAGGACAGGAUGGUUCGUAACGCGAACCGGAGAAACCCCGGGAAAGUGCCACAGAAAAGAUACCGCCAUGAUCUGUUAUGGUAAGGGUGAAAUGGUAAGGUAAGAGCUUACCGCUUUCAUGGCGACAUGAAAGGCAUGGCAAACCCCAUCCGGAGCAAGACCAAAUAGGGAAACAUUCCACAUCACAGAUGUGGUGAAGGGCGGUCCGUCCAAGUUUUCGGGUAGGUUGCAAGAGGUGUUGGGCGACCGACAUCCCAGAUAAAUGAUCAUCCCCCUGCAAAGGGGACAGAAUCCGGCUUAUAGCCCGCUCCAGUCC